CCCCUAGAUGUUCUGGGCCGCACGCGCGCUACACUGAACAGUUCAACAAGUCUUAACCUUGGCCGAUAGGUCUGGGUAAUCUUUGAACGCUGUUCGUGAUUGGGAUAGACCUUUGCAAUUAUGGGUCUUCAACGAGGAAUUCCUAGUAAACGCAAGUCAUCAGCUUGCAUUGAUUACGUCCCUGCCCUUUGUACACACCGCCCGUCGCUCCUACCGAUUGAAUGUGUUGGUGAGGAGCUCGGAUUGGCAGCAGUUGGUGGUUCGCCACCGGCUAUUGCUGAGAAGUCCUCCAAACCGCCCCAUUUAGAGGAAGGAGAAGUCGUANCA
rnacentral:rRNA from 1 species